GGAGAAGCUCUGAUGGGAGAGAAGCGUGGGUCAGUCAUCUUAACUUUAAAUAGAGUCAGUGUUCCUGACUUUCCUGCAACCACAAUCAAAGGAAACAGCGUUGGAGGAGAGGAGAGAGAGCUUUGUCUUCAGUUUGGAGAAGUUUUGAGUUACUAUUCGCAGCAUACCAAGAACAGUAUCUGCAAUCAGUAACUGCCAUGCAAGUAUUUGU
rnacentral:lncRNA from 1 species